rnacentral:snoRNA from 1 species
AUCCUUUUGUAGUUCAUAAGCGUGAUGAUUGGGUGUUCAUGCUGUUGUGUUACAUAUGCCACCCUUAAACCUUGUUAUGAUGCCAGCACAUUACCUGUCUGACA